GUUUCUUAUGGAUCCCCAGUGCUGCCUCCUUCUGAAGCACAGGUUAUUAGAGAGGCUGAAAACCAGACUGGAACAGGCUCUUCAAAGGCAGCCUCUGGACCUGGACUAUUUAGAGUUCCUCUGUACCAGUGAGUUGAGCCUAGUUCACUGAGUACUCACAUGCCAUUUCCAGAAGAGGUCAUAGGCAGACGGGAAAAACAGGCCUUAAAAGAGGGCUACAGGAUACUGGGGUGCUCCCAAUGAUAACAGAACGGCCAGAACUGGCUAGAGUUCUGUUCCCACAAGGUGUCUCAUCUCUGAUGGAUCCUAAGAUGAUUUUGAAAAGAGUGGUUUGACCAGAUGAGGCGGAGGUUGAUGAAGAUGAAAUGGAAGACUGCCGUGUCACAGCCUACCUCAGACAAUACGUUGCCGUGCCUACC